UGGGGAAUUUUGGACAAUGGGGGAAACCCUGAUCCAGCCAUCCCGCGUGUGCGAUGAAGGCCUUCGGGUUGUAAAGAACUUUUGGCAGGAAAGAAACGUCAUGGGUUAAUACCCCGUGAAACUGACGGUACCUGCAGAAUAAGCACCGGCCAACUACGUGCCAGCAGCCGCGGUAAUACGUAGGGUGCAAGCGUUAAUCGGAAUUACUGGGCGUAAAGCGUGCGCAGGCGGUUCGGAAAGAAAGAUGUGAAAUCCCAGAGCUCAACUUUGGAACUGCAUUUUUAACUACCGGGCUAGAGUGUGUCAGAGGGAGGUGGAGUUCCGCGUGUAGCAGUGAAAUGCGUAGAUAUGCGGGGGAACACCGAUGGCGAAGGCAGCCUCCUGGGAUAACACUGACGCUCAUGCACGAAAGCGUGGGGAGCAAACAGG
rnacentral:rRNA from 1 species